AGCGAACGUUAGCGGCGGGCUUAACACAUGCAAGUCGAACGAGAAAGCGCCCUUCGGGGCGUGAGUAAAGUGGCGCACGGGUGAGUAACACGUGGGUAACCUACCCUCUGGCGCGGGACAACAGCUCGAAAGGGCUGCUAAUACCGCAUAAGUCGGUGACGGCCUCGGCUGUUACCGGGAAAGGAUGGCCUCUCCUUGGAAGCUAUCGCCGGAGGAUGGGCUCGCGGCCCAUCAGCUAGAUGGUGAGGUAAUGGCUCACCAUGGCCAAGACGGGUAGCUGGUCUGAGAGGAUGAUCAGCCACACUGGGACUGAGACACGGCCCAGACUCCUACGGGUGGCAG
rnacentral:rRNA from 1 species